rnacentral:rRNA from 1 species
GCUAAAAACCUAGCUCAAAUUUACGCAAAUGCCACAACCAAACAACUGUAACCAAACAAAACAUUUUAAAUUUUUAGUAAAGGCGAUUGAAAAAUACCUAGAAGCUAUAACAAUAGUGCCGCAAGGGAAAAGUGAAAUAAAAAUGAAAUACCUUUAAAGCAAGACUAAGCAGAGAUUCAACCUCGUACCUUUUGCAUCAUGGUCUAGCUAGUUCAACCAAGCAAAACGCAAUUGUAGUUUGACACCCCGAAACUAGGUGAGCUCCUUCAAAACAGCCUUUAAGGGCCAACCCGUCUCUGUUGCAAAAGAGUGGGAAGAUUUUCAAGUAGAGGUGAUAGCCCCACCGAACCUAGAGAUAGCUGGUUAUUCAGGAAAAGGAUUUAAGUCCUACCUUAAGUUUUUCUAUACCUCAAAAUAUACCAAUAAACUUAAGAGCUAUUCAAAUAAGGUACAGCCUAUUUGAAACAGGAAACAACCUUAAACACAGGGUAAUGAUAUUCUAAACGUGACCAAGUGGGCCUAAAAGCAGCCAACUUUUAAACAGCGUUAAAGCUUCAUCACUUUAUUUAACCAAUAACCUUAAUAUUACAAAACCCUUUAUCACUACUGAAUGACUCCAUAACUAUAUGGAGAACACUAUGCUAGAACUAGUAACAAGAAGAAGACCUCCUCCAAAAUGUAAGUGUAAGCCAAAAUGAACACCUCACUGGCACUUAUCGUCUUUGAACUUAAAGUAGUAACCCCACAAGAAAAUUCUACUCAUACAAACGUUAACCUUACACCAGAACAUUACCGGAAAGAUUAAAAAAAGAGGAAGGAACUCGGCAAAUUUUAACCCCGCCUGUUUACCAAAAACAUCGCCUCCUGAAAUAACUAUAGGAGGUCCAGCCUGCCCAGUGACUAAGUUAAACGGCCGCGGUACCCUAACCGUGCGAAGGUAGCGCAAUCACUUGUUCUUUAAAUGAGGACUAGUAUGAAUGGCAUCACGAGGGUUAUACUGUCUCCCUCUUUCAAUCAGUGAAACUGAUCUUCCCGUGAAGAAGCGGGAAUACAUCUAUAAGACGAGAAGACCCCAUGGAGCUUUAAACUCAGUACCAACUGCCCCCUAAUAUACCCUCCUAAUUAAACAGACAUGGCUACUAGUUUUCGGUUGGGGUGACCGCGGAGCAAAACAAAACCUCCACGAUGAAAGGAAUUAACCUCCUAAUCAAAGAGCUACAUCUCUAAGAAUCAACAAAUUGACAUUUAUUGAUCCAAUUUUUUUGAUCAACGAACCAAGUUACCCUGGGGAUAACAGCGCAAUCCAUUUCAAGAGCCCCUAUCGACAAAUGGGUUUACGACCUCGAUGUUGGAUCAGGGUAUCCCAGUGGUGCAGCCGCUACUAAAGGUUCGUUUGUUCAACGAUUAAAACCCU